ACACACACACACACACACACACACUGCAGGAACAGUUUCUGCUGAGUGAUUCAUUCCAGGAAACCCAGUGUCUCUACUCUCUGGUCCGUCAGUGAUAGGAGCAAGGUUUUAUAUUGCUGUAGUUCCACGUGAACUCUGAUGAGAAGGGAAUGUUGUGGUCUCCUCUCCCCAGACCCCUCAUUCCCGUCGUGGGGACAGUGUGUGGGACGCCCCCCCUGCCCUGGCCGCUCUAGUCAGGCGUGUGUAUGCCUCCAAGGUAGGCACGCGCAGGGACCAGAGUGUGUGCGCGGUGGGAUGCAGUGGCACGGGCAAGACCACCUCCUGCCAAGCUUUCACCCACACACACUCCUCAAACAGGCUGGCACGGUCGGAGACAGCAUCAGUGUGGAGCGUACCCAGGCAGUGUUUACGAUCCUAAGGUCUUUUGGGUGUGUGAGCUCUCAGCACAGAGACGCCUCAUCCCGCUUCGCUGUUGGUUCUCUCCCUGGACUUCAACCACGCUGGACUGGCAUCUGCUGUACACCUGCAGGAGACUGCUGGAGAACUGCUACACACCUUUACACACUCACACAAACAUGUAAUGUAAUGUGCACUGUUGUUUCAGGAGAGAGUUCCAGUAGACUUUGAAGCUCCAGAGACCAGUCCUGCUGUGGUGGUGUAUGCCAUAGCCCGCUCUACAGGUGCGAGGGGCGGAGGGAGACCCCAGAGGACUGCUGUGGGUUCUGGAUGAGGAGAUGGUGACUCCGGGAUCGACAGAAAACACUGUCCUGGAGAGAGUCUGCCAGUAUGAAAAUGUAUGCACUAAGUUGCUCUUGAGCGUCUACUAAAAUGUCAAAGCAUAUUGAUGCAACAGUAGCUAAGAUGGGGAGAGGUCUGUCCACAAUAAAGCGCUGCUCUGCUUUCUGAACAACACUAUCAACAAGGCAGGCCCUGCUUUUGUCACACCUGGACUACAGUCCAGUCAUGUGGUCAGGUGCCACAAAAAGGCACUUAGAAAAAUUACAAUUUGCCCAGAACAGGGCAGCACAGCUGGCCCUUAAAUGUACACAAAGAGAUAACAUUCAUAAUAUGCAUACAUGUCCCGGCUCAAAGUAGAGGAGCGAUUGAUUUCUUCACCAGUUGUAUUUGUGAGAAGUGUUGACAUGUUGAAUCCACUGAGCUGCCUGUUUAAUCUACUAGCACACAGCUUGGAGACGGCUCUGAGACAGGAUUGUGUCGAGGCACAGAUCUGGGGAAGUCCAUUUCUGCAGCUUUGGAGGUUUCCAAGAACAAAGUGGCCUCCAUGAUUCUUAAAUAGAAGAAUAUUGGAACCAACCAGACUCUUCCUAGAGCUGGCCGCCCAGCCAAAGUGAGAAAAUGGGGGAGAAGGGCCUUGGUCAGGGAGGUGACCAAGAACCCAAUGGUCACUCUGACAGAGCUCCAAAGUUCUUCUGUGGAGAUGGGAACCUACCAGAGGAAAAAUCAUCUCUGCAGCACUCCACCAAUCAGGCCUUUAUGGUAGAGUAGCCAGACGGAAGUCACUUCUUAGUAAAAGGCACAUGGCAGCCCGCUUGGAGUUUGCCAAAAG
rnacentral:lncRNA from 13 species